rnacentral:rRNA from 1 species
AUUGAACGCUGGCGGCAUGCCUUACACAUGCAAGUCGAACGGCAGCACGGGACAACCUGGUGGCGAGUGGCGAACGGGUGAGUAAUGCAUCGGAACGUGCCAUUGAGUGGGGGAUAACGUAGCGAAAGUUGCGCUAAUACCGCAUAUUCUGUGAGCAGGAAAGCAGGGGACCGCGAGGCCUUGCGCUCUUUGAGCGGCCGAUGUCAGAUUAGCUAGUUGGUGAGGUAACGGCUUACCAAGGCGACGAUCUGUAGCGGGUCUGAGAGGAUGAUCCGCCACACUGGAACUGAGACACGGUCCAGACUCCUACGGGAGGCAGCAGUGGGGAAUUUUGGACAAUGGGCGCAAGCCUGAUCCAGCCAUGCCGCGUGAGUGAAGAAGGCC